GAAUGAUAAGGAUGAUGAUGAUGAUGAUGAUGAUGAUGAUGAUUAUGGUAUUCAUCAUUGUCAUCAUCAUUGUCAAUGUCGUCACCAUCAUCUUCA
rnacentral:pre_miRNA from 1 species